rnacentral:rRNA from 1 species
CCGAGGAGUCCUGGCCGUUCGCGAGUCGUAGGGGCCCCACGAACCCCGAAGGCGUAGCGAAAGCGAGAGAGCGCGUGGGAGGGCACCGGUCCGGGAGAGGUGUCGCGUCGAAAGCGGUCAGGCGGGGAGUUUCCGCUUCCUUCCGCCGCCUAGACGUGCCCGAUUCCGCCGGCGCUUGCCGUCUUCGUCCCGUCGACCUUCCCUCUUUUCGUAUCCGUCCGUCCCGAGACGGUCCCCUAUUUUCCCGUCGCCGGGAGAUGAAGGGCAUCGGGCGCCAGUGUCGGGUGUCGAAGCUAACGGGGGGGUUGUCGUCGGCGGGGUUGCAGCCUCCAACUUUCCUCCCACCGCCCACCGGUGAGAUCCCGCGGCUUGAACUAGUCACGAUUUAGGUCGUCGAGUUUAGGCGCUGCGCGCGGGCGCAUCACCCCCGGGUCGGUUCCUUUCCGAGUACGACUCGGCCGACUCUGGCGUAGCGAGCGGCCAGGGACCCGAAAGAUGGCGAUCCACGCCCGGUCGGGAUGAAGCCAGAGGAAACUCUGGUGGAAGUCCGAAGCGCCUCUGACGUGCAAAUCGAUCGUCGGAACCGGGUGUAGGGGCGAAAGACCAAUCGAGCCGUCUA